rnacentral:rRNA from 1 species
GAUGAACGCUGGCGGCGUGCCUAAUACAUGCAAGUCGAGCGAACAGACGAGGAGCUUGCUCCUCUGACGUUAGCGGCGGACGGGUGAGUCACACGUGGAUAACCUACCUAUCUGACUGGGAUAACUUCGGGACACCGGCGCUAAUCCCGUAUAAUAUAUUGAUCCGCAUGGUUCAAUAGUGAAAGUCGGUUUUGCUGUCUCUUCUAGCUGCAUCCGCGCUGCAUUAGCUGGUUGGUAAGGUAACGGCUUACUAAGGCAACGAUGCGUAGCCGACCUGAGAGGGUGAUCGGCCACACUGGAACUGAGACACGCUCCAGACUCCUACGGGAGGCAGCAGUAGGGAAUCUUCCGCAAUGGGCGAAAGCUUGACGGAGCAACGCCGCGUGAGUGAUGAAGGUCUUCGGAUCGUAAAACUCUGUUAUUAGGGAAGAACAAAUGUGUAAGUAACUAUGCACGUCUUGACGGUACCUAAUCAGAAAGCCACGGCUAACUACGUG